UCCCUCUUAGCUCAGUGGUAGAGCGCGUCACUAGUAGUAGUAACACCAUGAGUAUAUGACGAGGUCAGUCGUUCAAGUCGGCUAGAGGGAA